rnacentral:rRNA from 1 species
AGAAGGCCUUAGGGUUGUAAAGCACUUUCAGACGUGAGGAAAAGUUAAGUCUUAAUACGGCUUAACCCUGACGUUAACGUCAGAAGAAGCACCGGCUAACUCCGUGCCAGCAGCCGCGGUAAUACGGAGGGUGCAAGCGUUAAUCGGAAUUACUGGGCGUAAAGCGCGCGUAGGCGGUUAAAUAAGUCAGAUGUGAAAGCCCCGGGCUCAACCUGGGAACUGCAUUUGAAACUGUUUAGCUAGAGUGUGGUAGAGGAGAGUGGAAUUUCAGGUGUAGCGGUGAAAUGCGUAGAUAUCUGAAGGAACAUCAGUGGCGAAGGCGGCUCUCUGGACCAACACUGACGCUGAGGUGCGAAAGCGUGGGUAGCAAACGGGAUUAGAUACCCCGGUAGUCCACGCCGUAAACGAUGUCAACUAACCGUUGGGCGGGUUUCCGCUUAGUGGUGCAGCUAACGCAAUAAGUUGACCGCCUGGGGAGUACGGCCGCAAGGCUAAAACUCAAAUGAAUUGACGGGGGCCCGCACAAGCGGUGGAGCAUGUGGUUUAAUUCGAUGCAACGCGAAGAACCUUACCUACCCUUGACAUACAGAGAACUUUCUAGAGAUAGAUUGGUGCCUUCGGGAACU